rnacentral:rRNA from 1 species
UUUAGACUGAGCGGCGGACGGGUGAGUAACGCGUGGGUAACCUGCCUCGUACAGGGGGAUAACGGUUGGAAACGGCUGCUAAUACCGCAUAAGCGCACAGUACCGCAUGGUACGGUGUGAAAAACUCCGGUGGUAUGAGAUGGACCCGCGUCUGAUUAGGUAGUUGGUGGGGUAACGGCCUACCAAGCCGACGAUCAGUAGCCGACCUGAGAGGGUGACCGGCCACAUUGGGACUGAGACACGGCCCAA